GACGAACGCUGGCGGCGUGCUUAACACAUGCAAGUCGAACGGAAAGGCCCUGCUUUUGUGGGGUGCUCGAGUGGCGAACGGGUGAGUAACACGUGAGUAACCUGCCCUUGACUUUGGGAUAACUUCAGGAAACUGGGGCUAAUACCGGAUAGGAGCUCCUGCUGCAUGGUGGGGGUUGGAAAGUUUCGGCGGUUGGGGAUGGACUCGCGGCUUAUCAGCUUGUUGGUGGGGUAGGGGUUUACCAAGGCUUUGACGGGUAGCCGGCCUGAGAGGGUGACCGGGCACAAUGGGCCUAAGAUACGGCCCAGACGGGUACGGGAGGCAGAGGUCGGAAAUCUUGCACAAUGGGCGGACGUCUGAUACGGCGACGUCGGGUUCGGGAUGACGGCCUUCGGGUUAUAAACCGCUGUCGCCUGUGACGAAGCGUGAGUGACGGUAAUGGGUAAAGAAGCACCGGCUAACUACGUG
rnacentral:rRNA from 1 species